GACGUUAGCUGCAGAAGAAGCACCGGCUAACUCCGUGCCAGCAGCCGCGGUAAUACGGAGGGUGCGAGCGUUAAUCGGAAUUACUGGGCGUAAAGACGCAUGCAGGUGGUUUGUUAAGUCAGAUGUGAAAGACCCGGGCGUCAACCUACGGAAUAGCAUUUGAAACUGGCAGACUAGAGUACUGUAGAGGGGGGUAGGAAUUUCAGGUGUAGCGGUGAAAUGCGUAGAGAUCUGAAGGAAUACCGGUGGCGAAGGCGGCCCCCUGGACAGAUACUGACACUCAGAUGCGAAAGCGUGGGGAGCAAACAGGAUUAGAUACCCUGGUAG
rnacentral:rRNA from 1 species